rnacentral:rRNA from 1 species
GACGAACGCUGGCGGCGUGCUUAACACAUGCAAGUCGAACGGAAAGGCCCUGCUUUUGUGGGGUGCUCGAGUGGCGAACGGGUGAGUAACACGUGAGUAACCUGCCCUUGACUUUGGGAUAACUUCAGGAAACUGGGGCUAAUACCGGAUAGGAGCUCCUGCUGCAUGGUGGGGGUUGGAAAGUUUCGGCGGUUGGGGAUGGACUCGCGGCUUAUCAGCUUGUUGGUGGGGUAGUGGCUUACCAAGGCUUUGACGGGUAGCCGGCCUGAGAGGGUGACCGGCCACAUUGGGACUGGGAUACGGCCCAGACUCCUACGGGAGGCAGCAGUGGGGAAUAUUGCACAAUGGGCGGAAGCCUGAUGGAGCCACGCCGCGGGCGGGAUGACGGCCUUCGGGUUGUAAACCGCUUUCGCCUGUGACGAAGCGUGAGUGACGGUAAUGGGUAAAGAAGCACCGGCUAACUACGUG